UACGUAGGUGGCAAGCGUUGUCCGGAUUUACUGGGCGUAAAGGGCGUGCAGGCGGUUUGUUAAGUUCAGGGUGAAAGCUCCCGGCUCAACUGGGAGAGGUCCUUGGAUACUGGCAGACUUGAGGAGGGUAGAGGAGAGUGGAAUUCCCGGUGUAGUGGUGAUAUGCGUAGAUAUCGGGAGGAACACCAGUGGCGAAGGCGGCUCUCUGGGCCCUACCUGACGCUGAGACGCGAAAGCGUGGGGAGCAAACAGG
rnacentral:rRNA from 1 species